UAGAAAGAGAGAGAGAGAGAGAGAGAAAGCUUUGUGUUUUCCUUCAAAGAAAAAAAAAAACUUUUUUUUGUCGUUCUUCUUCUUCCAAUUUUCCAAACGCAAUCACGCCUUGGAAAAGGCUUUGCUUUUCUUCUUCUUCUUCUUCCUUCUUGACUCUAAUUUUUAUUUGUCAUAUUUUACAAAUUUGUGCAAAACUUUUGUGAGUUUCUAGAUCAAUCCGAUUCCCAAAUCUCGUUAUAUUCACUCCCCGCGCCAAAGAUCGGUUCUAGGGUUUGUGUCUUCGUUUCAAAACCGUGUGUGUGUGUUUUGGGUUGCUGAAUCACGUUGUUACCAUCAUCGAUUACAUCUGAACUUCGGAUUAAGGAUUAUUUGAAAUGCACCGGGUUGGAAGUGCCGGCAGUAAUGGCGGGUCUGUCCGCACUCGCAAAGAGAAAAAGCUUACCUAUGUAUUAAAUGAUACCAACGAUUCAAAGCAUUGUGCUGGCAUAAAUUGCUUGGAUGUGCUGAAGUCGUCUGUUUCUAAUGAUCAAAAUUACCUCUUCACUGGAAGUCGUGAUGGCACACUCAAGAGAUGGGCAUUUGAUGAGGAUGCUACCUUUUGCUCAGCUACGUUUGAGUCUCAUGUUGACUGGGUGAACGAUGCUACUCUGGCUGGUGAAAGUACUCUUGUUUCUUGUUCUUCAGACACUACGGUCAAGACAUGGGACGGCUUAUCAGAUGGAGUCUGUACGAGGACUCUCCGUCAGCAUUCUGACUAUGUUACUUGUUUGGCAGUUGCGGCAAAAAAUAGUAAUGUUGUUGCAUCUGGUGGCCUCGGUGGGGAAGUUUUUAUAUGGGAUAUCGAAGCUGCUUUGUCACCAGUUACAAAACCUAAUGAUGCUAACGAAGAUAGUUCUUCUUCAAAUGGUGCAAAUGGUCCUGUUACAAGUUUAAGAACUGUUGGUUCAAGCAACAAUAUCUCUGUGCAGUCAUCUCCAUCUCAUGGGUACACACCAACAAUUGCCAAAGGCCACAAGGAGUCUGUGUAUGCUUUGGCGAUGAAUGAUACUGGGUCGAUGCUCGUCUCUGGUGGAACAGAGAAGGUUUUACGUGUCUGGGACCCUAGAACUGGUUCAAAGAGUAUGAAGCUGAGGGGGCAUACAGAUAAUGUGAGAGUGCUUCUUCUGGACUCAACUGGCAGGUUUUGCUUGUCUGGGUCCUCUGAUUCUAUGAUAAGACUAUGGGAUCUGGGUCAGCAGCGAUGUCUUCAUACCUAUGCGGUGCAUACAGAUUCUGUUUGGGCGCUUGCAUGCACUCCAUCAUUUAGUCAUGUUUAUAGCGGUGGACGAGACCAAUGUUUAUACUUGACCGACUUGGCAACAAGGGAGAGUGUUUUGCUGUGCACUAAGGAACAUCCAAUUCAGCAAUUAGCUUUGCAAGAUAAUAGUAUUUGGGUUGCAACUACGGACUCCUCUGUAGAGAGAUGGCCUGCCGAAGUACAGAGUCCUCAAAAGAUCUUUCAACGAGGUGGCUCUUUCUUGGCUGGGAAUUUGUCUUUUAAUAGGGCGAGGGUGUCUUUGGAAGGACUAAAUCCACCCCCUGCCUACAAGGAGCCGUCAAUAAUUGUUCCAGGAACUCACCCGAUUGUGCAACAUGAGAUUUUGAAUAAUAAAAGGCAAAUUUUAUCCAAGGAUGCAGCUGGCGCAGUGAAACUAUGGGAUAUAACUAGGGGUGUUGUGGUACAGGACUAUGGAAAGAUUUCAUUUGAAGAGAAGAAAGAAGAACUGUUUGAGAUGGUAAGCAUUCCAUCAUGGUUUACUGUGGAUACACGACUUGGAUGCUUAUCUGUACAUUUGGAGACUCCACAAUGCUUCUCUGCUGAGAUGUAUUCAGCAGACCUUAAAGUUUCUGGGAGACCUGAAGAUGAUAAGAUUAAUCUAGCUCGUGAAACACUGAAAGGCCUGCUGGGUCACUGGCUGGCUAAGAAGAAGCACAAACCAAAACCCCAAGUUCUUUCCUCUGGAGAUACAUUAUCUGUAAAAGAUACCAAAAAAAAUCAAAGUGCAUCAAAAAAUGAAGACAGUAGUGCUGCUAGUGAUCCGGUGUAUCCUCCAUUCGAGUUUUCUUCCGUCUCCCCUCCUUCCAUCAUAACCGAGGGCUCUCAAGGAGGACCAUGGAGGAAGAAGAUAACCGAGUUUACUGGAACUGAAGAUGAAAAGGAUUUCCCAUUGUGGUGCUUGGACGCUGUCUUGAACAAUCGCCUUCCACCUAGAGAAAAUACAAAAUUAAGCUUCUUCCUACAUCCAUGUGAAGGUUCAACUGUGCAGGUGGUUACACUAGGGAAACUUAGUGCACCCCGGAUCUUAAGAGUUCACAAGGUUACCAAUUACGUUGUGGAAAAGAUGGUUCUUGACAAUCCGUUGGAUAGUCUAGCUAUUGAUGCAGCAAGUGUUUCGGGAGGACAACCUCAGCCACUGUUUGCAGGAAAUGGAUUGCUACAGUCUGGAUUAAAGUCUUGGCAGAAACUUAGACCUUCCAUUGAAAUCUUGUGCAAUAACCAGGUCUUAUCUCCAGAUAUGAGUUUAGCAACUGUACGAGCAUAUAUAUGGAAGAAACCUGAGGAUCUAAUUCUCAACUACAGAGUUGCUAUAGCUAGAUAACUUUUGAGGUAAAUUAUUAGAAAAAGGUGAAAACUUAUGAAAAUGCAUGAUGUUGGUGUGUUUGUCAAGAUAAAUUUGUGGGGGACUAAUCUCCGGCUCCAUCUAGUUGACGGUUUUAACAUGGGAGGGUGAUUUCAUAUUUAGGUAUUUUCAUCAGAAAGAAAGUUAGAGAAACUUGAGUUGGUAGAUUUUUCAUAUUUUGGAUCUGUCUGCGGGUGCAUUUAAUCACAUGGAAGUCUAUAGCCUUUCAAUGCUUGUUCCUCGAAAAGCAUAAAUCUUGGUUUAUCUUGGCCUAGUGUUUACUCAGCAUCAUGCUGGAGAAUAAUUCUGUUCUUUGGAGCACAGAUACAUGAGAAGUGGGCACCAAUAAAGGUCCAAGGUUUUAGGUGAGAUGGUGUCGAAAGCUUUACUAAAUUUGUAUAUUAGGUUUGAGUUUGGAAAACAAAAAACUAUUUUUAAUU